rnacentral:lncRNA from 1 species
GUCCUCGUGGCCUUGCACUUGGGUCUCUUUGUUGCUCAGUGGGUGUGUUCACACUACCCUCAGUAGGUCCUCACUGCCUGUGCCUGGAGCCUGGUGAACUCAGUCCACACAUGUUCUGCUGCCCAGCCCCUGCCGAGUCUCCUGUUCUCACUCACAUCAGAAGCUGAGUGAGAACACCAUAUCCAUUCAGUGACUUACCCAAAGAUAUUUUUCUUCCGGGCAAAUUCCGAAGCACCCGCAUACUUCAUAGCUUAUGAUCCCUAAUCGCUGUAACCCCACAACUCAGAACCUUUCACUUUGACUCUGCAACCUGAGCUCACUGGAUCCAGCCCUGGAAGAAAGGGGAAGAAAGAAGGGACUGUACCCUCAGUUGUUCCCCUUAUGUUAGGACUCAGAACCUGGGGAGGAGAGACCGAGGGCCUGGAGCCACUGAGAAGGACAAGAAGGGUAGGCAGGGAGGC